GACGAACGCUGGCGGCGUGCUUAACACAUGCAAGUCGAACGGAAAGGCCCUGCUUUUGUGGGGUGCUCGAGUGGCGAACGGGUGAGUAACACGUGAGUAACCUGCCCUUGACUUUGGGAUAACUUCAGGAAACUGGGGCUAAUACCGGAUAGGAGCUCCUGCUGCAUGGUGGGGGUUGGAAAGUUUCGGCGGUUGGGGAUGGACUCGCGGCUUAUCAGCUUGUUGGGGGGGUAGUGGCUUACCAAGGCUUUGACGGGUAGCCGGCCUGGGAGGGUGACCGGCCCCCUUGGGCCUGCGAUACGGCCCAGACUCCUACGGGAGGCAGCAGUGGGGAAUAUUGCACAAUGGGCGGAAGCCUGAUGCAGCAACGCCGCGUGCGUGAUGACGGCCUUCGGGUUGUAAACCGCUUUCGCCUGUGACGAAGCGUGAGUGACGGUAAUGGGUAAAGAAGCACCGGCUAACUACGUG
rnacentral:rRNA from 1 species